UUCACCCAAUGACUGUCUCCUAAUUUUUAUUCGAAUAUUUCAUGUUUUCUUUACAUAUGACACAUUUACACAGAAACAAGAUUUAUCUUUAUCCAGCGCCUGUAACUAUGUAAAUUACUGAACCAACAAUCCAAUACCAGAACAUUACAUACGAAGGUGUUCAGACACUACUUAUAUCCCACCUGCCAUCUACUCUUCUAAUCACAAGCAUUCACAUGUCUAUGGAAAUAGUAUCUGCAUAACUCCACAAUAAAAUUAUCGAUUUGCUAUUUUCUCUCCGAUCAUACCAGCGGGUCCAUCCUGGAGCUCUAGGAUCCUUCUUGCCUAUGGACUAUGCGGAAGUUUCUGGCGAAUCCCCCCCCUUCUCAGAUGCCACCGGUCGAUCCGCCACACGAAGCCGCCCAUCGAAGCUCUCCGCGAGGGGCUGAUCCAUUCCCGCACUAAUCUAAUGGAGGUGGUCCAUCGGGACGUCACUACCAUUAACCUCCUCCAACGCCGUUAAUCUGGGAGGCAAGCGGGCAAAGUUUCAGAUCCACGCCUUGGAAUCCAGAACGAACACCAAAUGCUACAGGAGAUUAACUAUUUGCUUACCUUUUAAUUGGCUGCAUCAGGAACUCCAUUUCCACCGGCAGAUCUUCGCUAAGUUGUCGAAUCGCCUCUCCCAAAGCUCGGCCCUCUCUCUACUAAAAAAACGCAGCAGCGUGAGGUAGGAGACGACAACAAUUAUCCUGAUCCACGGAUCAGGAAGAGGCCCGACGUCCUGGGCCACGGCUCGACUAGUUUGCCGUCUCCUCCGUCUACUUCCAGGCCCAUACGCCCAGACGUAUUUCUUGAUUUGCUUCAUUACUUACGCUCGCGUAUGUGGCCCGGAUAUUAUGUGCUCGAGACCAGAAGCACCACGUCCUUAGCUUCACAAAGGGUCUGGGAUUGAUCCCUUGAAGAGAGCAAGGUAGCACUAGCUCGGCGAGUAUUGCCCGGAGUCAGUCCACCGCCAAUGCAGACUAUUUCUUAACGGUU
rnacentral:lncRNA from 1 species